rnacentral:sRNA from 1 species
ACUUGAUAAACACUGCAUGGAGGUGCGAAUUUCUAUUUUCGUGCAACUAGGUG